ACAGGGACUCACACAUACUAAGCAAGCACCCUACCACUGAGCUAUUCCCCAGUUUGAUAUUUUAUAUUUGAAUCUGUGUUGGUAGAGCAUUUGUGUAGCAUGCUCAAGGCCCUAGCUUUGUAAAACACACACACACACACACACACACACACAGAGUUAUAUAUGUAAUCUGUUUUGAAUUAAUUUUUUAAUAAAGUGUGAUGUUUUGGUUGAGAUCUUUUUUUGCAUGUGGAUAUCUAAUUGUUCAGUACUAUUUGUCUACAAAGCUAACUUUUCCCAUUGAAUAGUUGUUGUAGCAUUAAAGAUCAAUUGGAUUUAUUUUAUGGUUCUAUUUCUGGACUUCAUUCUGUUUUGUUUAUAUGUUAACAAUACCACACUGUCUAUGUUACUGUAGUGGUAUAAUUAAAAUUGGGUAAUGAAAUCCUUCUAACCUUACUUUUGUUUUUUAAAGAACUUUUUAAAAAUUCUAUUUAUGUAUUUUUAUGUGGUGCUGAGGAUCGAACCCAACGCCUCAUGUGUGCUAGGCAAGCGCUCUACCACUGAGCCACAACCCUAGCCCCUUACUUUCGUUUUUAUAAAACAAUUUUUGGCUAUUCUAGUUUUUAUCCUUUCCCUAUAAAUUUACAUGUAAAUUGAUAUGCUUUUGAUUGAUUAGAAUUGCACUAAAUAUUAAAUCAAUUUGGGAAAACUGCAAACUUUAUACUAUGUUGAGUUUUCCAAUUCAUGAACAUGGUAUAUCUUUCUUUUACAUUUUUGUUGAUUUUCCAUUAGUUUUCAAUAGUAUUUAGCAACAGAUGCUGUGUUUGAUUAAAUUUAUACCUAAGCAUUUUAUUUUUUAAAACAUUUUUAUCUAAAUGAUUAUUAAUUUUUAAGUUCUGGUUCCAAUUGUUAAUUGCUGACAUAUAGAAAUAUAAUUGAUGCUGUAGAUUUUGUCUCCUGCAAUCUUACAAAACUUACUUAUUUGUUCUAGGAGUUCUUGAAAAUUUCUUGUGAUGUUUUAUU
rnacentral:lncRNA from 1 species